GCAGUCGGAAGGCGGCGGUCGCCGUCAAAAUCACCCGAAGCGAGGAUUAUGCCGGCUGCCCGAGUUUCGGUAACUUUUCGGAAACUAGCGUUUCAACGUUCGGAGGAUUCCGCGAGUCUUCGCGUUCCCCGACACCAGCCCCCUCUAAAGACACGGAUUUUCCUACAACUCAAACCGUCUGUCUCUGGCCUCCUCUGGAAAUCCGUCCCACCCCUCGCCGACCCUGUCCAAGCGGUCAGUCACUUCCAACAAUCCUAACCGUCCGGGCCUUCGGCUCUUUCCGAAGGUUUCCAGCGCUCGCUCACCGCCCCUCUAGAGAUUAAGCCCGAUUCUAGUCUUCGGCUCUUUCCGGAGGCGCCACAGGGUCACUCCGCCCCUUCCGGAGAAUAUCGGUCCCUUCCGCCACUGCUUCGGGAAGGUCUCACGCCCAGGAGGGAAGUUCGGCUCUUUCCGCUCUUGCUUCGGCUCCUUUCGGCUUAAAGACCCGAAAAGGGAGGGAGGACUGAUGGGAGGUGGGCCAGAUAGCUACGGGGGAGGGGGCGGGGUCUCAGCUUUCGGUCCCUAGCUCUCUAGGAGAAAACUGAAAAAACUGACCUCGCGGAAGGCCAGAGAAAGUGUGUGGGACAGUAGCAGCCAGUGCGACAAAGGGUGUUCGAGGCCGCUGCGGAGGUUGUUAGCUCAGCUUGGGACGCCUGCGCACGGUGAUUGGAGAGGGGUUUCUGCGCCUGCGUAGCGGUCUAGGGCACGUUUUUCUCAGCGCUCCGGAGGAUCCGCCAUUCUAAAUCCACAUUGCGCGUGCGCCCGAUCUCCUCCCACACACCCCUUCCCCCACCGCCAACCUCAGCCCCCAAGGCACUAACUUCAAGACGGUUAAACCUGACUGCUCUCUCCCGGUUGCCAAGGCAAUCGCGUUAAAUUGUCCGCCCCUGCUCCUGCUGCGCAAGCGCCGAAUGUGACACCUCCGAGAGAUCUCCUGACCCCUGGCGGGCAGGCGGAAAAGAGUCUACCCAGCGCCCCGGUACCUCCUCCGGGCUGGCUCAGCUAAACGUUCAUUGAAUCAAUGCCCCAGGCGCUGCCUUCUUAAAGUCGUCUUACCUCAGUUUCUCCUACUGCUCCGCUUCCCACCUCUGCCUCCUGGGGCUAAUUACACCCUACCCUCCCCAACCUCUCUAGAGGCUUCUGGCUGAGCGCUCCUGUCCCAGUCUCCGUGGCGACGGCCACCCCUUCCCAGCAUAUUCCCUUCCUAGUAAGACCUGGGGCCCAGUUUAUUGAAAAUUUUCAUGUCUCUUUAAUUUAAACUCUCAGAAUAAUACUCUGUCUUUGCAUGGGAUGCAGAUGGGCUACUCCUGGCUAAGGAGGCCUAGCUGGCAGCCCCUGCGGGGUGAAAUGGAGACGGGGUGCCUAGCGUGUGCGGCCGAGAAGCAGGGCCCAGUGCUCAGGAAGGGCAGCUUCUAGCCCUGGCGGUGCCCCGGGAAGGCCGACCUAGCCAGCAAUCUGCUGGGGGGGAGGCGUGCGGGGCGGCGGCAUCACCGCUUGAAGCGGUAGGUGAUGGGCAGGAGCAGCUUGCUCUUCUUGAGAGCCUGCACCUUCUUGAGAGUCUCGUCGUCCAGUGCCAGGAAGCAGCGGCGGGAAUACUCUAGCAGGCGCUCCUUGGAUGGAUCGAACUCUCCCACCUCAGCCAGCUUUUCGGGAGCCACAAUGAGUAGCUCUGCGAUGGGCGUGGUCAGCGCCACGGUGUUCCUGUCCACACGGUGGUGCUCGAAGGCUCUGGACAUGCUCUUCAGCUUCUGGAAGGUGCCCAGGAUCUUCUUGUAGCGGCAGAGGACCCCAUCAGCAUCCUUCACUGCAGGACCAAGAGGACAGAAAGAGGAGGACUGGAAAAGACACUCAUGAGGGAAGGAGACAUGGGGGAACCCAGGUAGAAACAGGAAGGCAGGCAUAAAGAGGAAAAGGGGUGAAAGGCACACAGAUUUGAAAACAAGCAAGCAAGAAAUCAUGGAAGUGGGGACACAUGAGGAGCCCCAUACAGGAAGAGAAAGGAUAACAAGAUGGAAAACAGUUAAGACCUGAGCAAGAAGUAGACCAGGGAAAUUGAAGGCAGGCCUGGACACCAGAAGAAAGGAGAUGGGCCCAGAGACCUCCUUUCUGAUGACACAGGACUAAAUCUGCUGGUUGGUGUAAAACGAAAUUUAAAAUUAACUCAGGACCGAAAAGGGCUGUGAGAUGAAGUUGAGUCUGAUUGUUUUGUAUAUGGAGAGUUAGGGCAUCACUGUAGAGCUCACACUGCGAUUCUGGGUACACAACCCCUCAACACACCCAUCACAUGUACCCACUCCCCACUCACCCCGCUGCCUCUCUCGAGCCUUGGUCUUCCCAAAUCGCUUCCGGCUAGUACUUCCCUUCUGCUUCUGCCUCUUCCUUUCACUGGCACUUCCGUCUUCGGAAACCCCGCUGAAGGAGGAGGCUGCCGACUCGGGGUCUGAGGCUUCUCCAACCCCAGCCCUGCUGUCCCCAUCAACCCUCCGAGGUCCAGGCUUCAUCCGGCAGUAGUCCUCUAAAGAGAGACAAAAGUGAACUGUGACACAAUGUCCUAUAAUUGCCCUGAGGGGGGAAAGAUGGACAUGGAGGCCAAGUCCUCGGAAUGAGGGCAGGGUGAAGUCCCCAAGUAGAGACAUUAGCUACACUGAAUGCCAUAGAGCCAGCUGGGAUUCGGGGAAUAGUGUGAGCAUUUUUCUAGGCUCUGAACUUGACUGAAACAGGUCCAGGGAAUUCAUG
rnacentral:lncRNA from 1 species